GGGGGGGGGGGGUGGGAAGGCCUUGCAGAGAGGUAGGUCUGGGGAACUGCGAUUCAGCACCCAGUGCUGUAUAUGAGAUUCUCAAUCCGUCACGUGAUUACAUAUGUAGCUUCUUUAUUAAAUCACAGCACAAAAAGCAGAUGUAUUUUUAAAGGUGGAAAAAUGUUCACGAAACUUAACUGGGAUAUUCUGGGGAGAACUUAGAAGAAAGGAUAUAGUUAAGUCUAAAGCAAGCAUUGUAACAAAUGUUUUUUCGCGUCACAGUGGGACAGCUGUUUGCAGGGAUGAACAGAUCAGACUUACGGAAUGGUUACAACCAUUUUAAUGAAAAAAAAGGAGGACGGGGAGGAGUAAGGCAAGGAAUGGGCCUGCAAGCUGACCGAUUUCCCUUUAAAUCACAUUGUAAUUUCUUUUUUGGCUAGUAAAUGACUUGAAAGUAUAGGAAGAUAAACAGCCUGAGCGAGGGCCUGGACUUCUGCCAUGUGCUGGGCUCCCAAUUAAGGGAUGAAAUUGCAAGAUACUCUUCAAUUUCACUGCAACUGCGGCUGGGUUUUGUGGGUCAGUAAAACAAAUGGAAGAGUUUUUUCUCUCCUAUUUGUGUACUUCAGAGGUACUGUGCUCGGUUAUCCGUGCUAGCAGUGGUGAGACUUAGCCCCACAGUCUCUGCAAAUUUAUGGGAGGAAUAGGUCCCUGGUCGGAAAGAAAACGAUUGUGGAUGUUUAAGUUUCUGUAGAUCUGCUCUGUUGAAUAACUCGCCUUACCUAUUUUUUUCCUCCCGGCUUGACAAUCAGCAGUGACUGAAAUUCAUGAACGCAAAAUAUGUAUUUUGAUGAAGGGCUUAAACUUUUAAGUGCCUUGCAGAAAAAAAAGCCUCUCUUUAGAAAGAAAAAAAACUCAAAUGACUUUCCUUGUGUGUUUUUAAGGGUGCCAGUUGUAUCCAUUUUAGAACAAAUUUACAUUGCUUAUGGUGUUUUAUUUUUGCCACGGCGCUGUGUAUUUGUAGUUGUACAUUACUUACUGACUUAAACACUAUCAUUUUCUAAACUGCAGAGGAAAGGAAAUAUAUUUUCUGUUUGCACAAUUUUCAGAAUAAAUGAAAAGGGAGGUAGCAUCAACAGAAGAAGUAUUUUUUUUUAACUCCAUCCUAUGUUGUAACAAGAUUUUAGAAGAUACAGAAAGCUUCUGUCCCAUUAGUUUUAAUGAUAGCUUAUCUCAGUGCAAUAAAACACUAUGAAAAUGAAAUAAUGUGUAUAUUUUCUUUGGAUCUCAGGCUUUUACCUACUGUGCCUACUCAGCACUUGGUUCUUUCUCUCUCUUAUUUAUUUACUUCUUUAGUUUUCAUCAUUUGAUGCUGUGGCAAUCUCUUGUGAUGUCAUAAGGAGUGAUAGCUCAGGCCUAGCAGCAAUACCAGUGAACUGUGAGUGUCUCAGAGUGUCACAGGAUGAAGGAGUAAUGCUUCUCUUCCAGUUUUGCUAACAAGAAGUGUAACUACAUGAGAUACUAAAAUGAUUUGCUGUUGCUCCUUGUUUCUAAGGGUGAUCUCAGUAUCUUAUGAAUCUGCUGGACCUAUGGUGGCUUUCAAACACAUACUCCAAUGCUGUGAGCUUUUCUGACCUGUCUGGGCUGGCUACCUCCUUGAUUAAAAGCUUAAAAGCAA